rnacentral:rRNA from 1 species
UACGAAGGGGGCUAGCGUUGCUCGGAAUCACUGGGCGUAAAGCGCACGUAGGCGGAUCAUUAAGUCGGGGGUGAAAUCCUGGAGCUCAACUCCAGAACUGCCUUCGAUACUGAAGAUCUCGAGUCCGGGAGAGGUGAGUGGAACUCCGAGUGUAGAGGUGAAAUUCGUAGAUAUUCGCAAGAACACCAGUGGCGAAGGCGCUCACUGGCCCGAUACUGACGCUGAGGCACGAAAGCGUGGGGAGCAAACAGG